CUAUGGGUCAGAAGGAUGAUAUCCAAGGUCAAGUUAAGUUAAUGGGUGCUGGUUUGGACGGAGUGAAAAAGGAGAGGCAAGCAAUUUCAGCAAGGAUUAAUGAGCUGAGUGAGAAGUUGAAA